GAUGAACGCUGGCGGCGUGCCUAAUACAUGCAAGUCGAGCGAAUGGAUUAAGAGCUUGCUCUUAUGAAGUUAGCGGCGGACGGGUGAGUAACACGUGAGUAACCUGCCCAUAAGACUGGGAUAACUCCGGGAAACCGGGGCUAAUACCGGAUAACAUUUUGAACCGAAUGGUUCGAAAUUGAAAGGCGGCUUCGGCUCUCACUUAUGGAUGGACCCGCGUCGCAUUAGCUAGUUGGUGAGGUAACGGCUCACCAAGGCAACGAUGCGUAGCUGACCUGAGAGGGUGAUCGGCCACACUGGGACUGAGACACGGCCCAGACUCCUACGGGAGGCAGCAGUAGGGAAUCUUCCGCAAUGGACGAAAGUCUGACGGAGCAACGCCGCGUGAGUGAUGAAGGCUUUCGGGUCGUAAAACUCUGUUGUUAGGGAAGAACAAGUGCUAGUUGAAUAAGCUGGCACCUUGACGGUACCUAACCAGAAAGCCACGGCUAACUACGUGCCAGCCGCCGCAGUAA
rnacentral:rRNA from 1 species